AUAUGACACUUCAAAGAAGCAUAAAAUGAACAGACUAUUCAAACAAAGGUAAUUUACAUUUUUUUAUUUGAUAAAACCUGACUGAUGUACAAAACGAAAAUAGAAUAUUGUUUACUGGAAAACAGGUCUACAAUCUCUCACACAUCUUCUCUUGCAACAGAUAGAAUUCCAGAAACAUCUAAGUUCCUCUGUGUACAGUUAUUUCUCCUGUAGGAGCCUUUGUAUGGAUGUAAUACACACAUAUAUGUAUAUGCAUAGAGCAUGACAUAAAUAAAACCUGCAAUAGCCUAUAAGAAAGAAGCUCCUAUUUAGAGGAAAGGGUAAGAUACUUUUAUUAUAAUGAAAGCCAGUUCACUUCAUCACUUGGACCAUGGACACUAAUGUAAAUAAAAUGGCUUAAAAAAUAAGACAAUAGUAGUAUUGACUGUAGACUACAAUUUGCACAUUUGUAAUUCUUAUAAAUGAAAUAUUUAAAAUGAUUUGGUGUUGGGCCAGUUCCUUAUGCAUUCUGCAUUCAUGUGUAUAGGAUUCAAAGACGUUCCAAAUAUUGAUCAUAAACCAAGUGUAUAUGAAUUAAUUAAAUAGCAUAUUUCUGGCCCAAAUAUGAGGAAAACCAUAACUUUUUACUGUAAAUCAGGAGAGA
rnacentral:lncRNA from 1 species